rnacentral:rRNA from 1 species
AACGAACGCUGGCGGCAUGCCUAACACAUGCAAGUCGAACGAGACCUUCGGGUCUAGUGGCGCUCGGGUGCGUAACGCGUGGGAACCUUCCCUUAGGUUCGGAAUAACUCCCCGACAGGGGUGCUAAUACCGGAUAAUGUCUUCGGACCAAAGAUUUAUCGCCUUUGGAUGGGCCCGCGUUGGAUUAGCUAGUUGGUAGGGUAAAAGCCUACCAAGGCGACGAUCCAUAGCUGGUCAGAGAGGAUGAUCAGCCACACUGGGACUGAGACACGGCCCAGACUCCUACGGGAGGCAGCAGUGGGGAAUAUUGGACCAUGGGCGAAAGCAUGAUCCAGCACUGCCGCGUGAGUGAUGAAGGCCUUAGGGUUGUAAAGCUCUUUUACCCGGGAUGAUAAUGACAGUACCGGGAGAAUAAGCUCCGGCUAACUCCGUG